UACGUAGGGGGCGAGCGUUGUCCGGAUUUAUUGGGCGUAAAGAGCGUGUAGGCGGCCAGGUAGGUCUGCUGUGAAAACUCGAGGCUCAACCUCGAGACGUCGGCGGAAACCAUCUGGCUAGAGUCCGGAAGAGGAGAGUGGAAUUCCUGGUGUAGCGGUGAAAUGCGCAGAUAUCGGAAGGAACAUCAGUGGCGAAAGCGGCUUCCUGGACCAGUACCGACGUUCAGGCACGAAAGCGUGGGGAGCAAACAGG
rnacentral:rRNA from 1 species